UACGUAGGGGGCUAGCGUUGUCCGGAUUUAUUGGGCGUAAAGAGCGUGUAGGCGGCCAGGUAGGUCUGGUGUGAAAACUCGAGGCUUAACCUCGAGAUGUCAUCGGAAACCAUCUGGCUAGAGUCCGGAAGAGGAGAGUGGAAUUCCUGGUGUAGCGGUGAAAUGCGCAGAUAUCAGGAAGAACACCAAUUGCGAAGGCAGCUCGCUGGGACGUUACUGACGCUGAGACGCGAAAGCGUGGGGAGCAAACAGG
rnacentral:rRNA from 1 species